UAAAAUACGUUGUGAGAUUUCAAAGAAAUAACAGCAACAUAACAACAAAAAAUAUCUACACUCUCACACAACAAAAGUAAAAUUAUUAACACCCCAAGGGCGGGUUAUUACAAUUGAAAGGGGGAUUAAUGGAUUAAUCAGAGAUUUACAUGAAACAACAAACAAACAAAAUAACAUGCACCAUCCACACACACACACAGUAGCAACUACAACAACAAUAUUUUAAGUAAUAAGAAAAUUGCAUGCCACAAAAUAAAUUUGAAUAAAAUUGAAACAUCUUGUUGAGUGUUCGCUAAGGGUGAUAUUGAAACUAGAAUUAUGCAACCAAAAACACAACACGUUUAUCACAAUCAUACACAUGCUUGUAUGAAGUAAUAAUGUCAAAUAAUAUAAUAAAUUUUCGAAACUGCCACCAGAACGGAAACAUUUUAAUGCAAAACAAAGCCAAAGUACCCGCACUUACACAAAAUACAUACACACAUACAUACAUACUACCCUGAACCCAAAAUAAAAAGAAUGAAAUAAAAUAAAAAGAAGUGAAAAACCGAUUUUUUGUAAAUGUAAUAAGUACAACAACUAACCA